UAUCCUUCCACCUCAGCCUCCCAAGUAGUUGGGAUCACAGGUACAUGCCACCAUGCCCGGCUAAUUUUUGUAUUUUUUGUAGGGAGUGGGUUUUGCCACGUUGUUCAGACUGGUCUCUAGGUAUCCGCCUGCCUCAGCCUCCCAAAGUAUUUGUAUUAUAGGCGUGAGCCACUGUGCCCAGCUAAAAUUUUUUUUUUUAAUACAAUAUCCAGUGCUGGCUAGAAUGUGGAGCAACUCGAACUCUAACACUUUGCUGGCAGGAAUGCAAAGUGGUACAGUCACUCUGAAAAAGAGUUUGGUACUUUCUUAUAAAGUUGAACAUACACUUACCAUACGACAGCAAUCCUACUCCUGGGUAGCUAUCCUAGAGAAAUAAAAUUUUCUAUUCAUGCAAAAACGUGUAUGCAGGUUCAUACGGUCAAACAUUGAAAACAGCUUAAAUGUCCUUCCGUGAGUGUCCCACAAACUGUGGGACAUCCAUACAAUGAAAUGCUACUUAGCAAUAAAAACAAAUGAAGCUGAUACACACAACCUGGAUGGGUCUCAAAGGCAUUAUGCUGAGUGGAAGAGGCCAUGCUGAAAGGGAUACAGACAGUUAUAUCGCAUUCUCAAAAAGACAAAACUAUAGUGACAGGGAACUGAUCAGUGGUUACCAGGGGUUUAUGGGUGAGGGAGGGGAGUGACUACAAAGGGCUAGCAGGAGGGAGUUUUGGGGGGCAUGUUCUAUAUCCUGAUGAUGAUGGUGGUUAUGCUAAUCUAUCCAUGUGUUAAAAUUCACAGAACUGGCUGGGCGUGGUGGCUCACGCCUGCCAUCUCAGCACUUUGGGAGGCCGAAGCGGGUGGAUCACCUGAGGUCAGGAGUUCAAGAGCAGCCUGACCAAAACGGUGAAAACGUGUCUCUACUAAAAACACAAAAAAUUAGCCAGGCGUGGUGGCAGGCACCUGUAAUCCCAGCUACUUGGGAGGCUAAGGCAGGAGAAUCCCUUGAACCCGGGAGGCGGAGGUUGCGGUGAGCCAAGGUUGCGCCAUUACACUCCAGCCUGGGCAACAAGAGAAAAACUCCGUCUCGAAAAAAUAAAAAUAAAAAAUAAAUCACAGAACUGUACUUUAGGUUAGUGCAAAAGUAACUGCGGUUUUUGCAGAGAUACGCCCACAUACUUACUACUGGAGUCCAGAAAGAAAUGAGCUCGACCUGGGAACACCAGGAAAUGUUUCGUAGGGCAUAAAAGAUAGAGAAAGACAUUCCAGGGAACAUGGGAGUCUGUUAUAUUUGAGAUUAGGGGAUACAUAGAGUACACAGCAAAGGUUGGGAGCAUUAACCUGGGGGAGGUAGGUUGGUGCCACCUGUGUUCUUAUAAAUCACAACAAAGAAUCUGGACUUCAACUUAUCAGUCAGGGAUUGUCCUUUCAAAUGCUUAAUGGGCUGGGGCAGAUAAUACAAAUGACUAAAGCAGCCUGGGUGGAAACCAUGAGACACUGUAGCGAGUUUUUGUCUAAAUGAGGUAGCUGCUACUUACUGGUAGCUCCAUCUUCGGCUGCUAUCCAGAAAUCGCAGCCCAGUGUUGCCUGAUGUAAUUUUCCAAGAGAAGCUGAAGAUAGUUUUAUGUACGAUCUCCUUAUUUUUAAAUGUUAGCAUGAGUAUUUUUCAGCAAAUUUAUGAAGCCACUGAUUACAGGGUACACUGCUGUUUUAUGUACCAAUAAGAGAGAACACCACUGAUCAAACUAUGUCACUGUCCAUUUCAAGACACAUCCCAAUAUCAGAGCUGCUAAAAUGUGAAAAAAAAAUGCAUCUUAGAAUCAACAAAAUACAGUCAUUCUCAUUUUCUCAAAAUGCCGUACAGACUGCGUGGAUUCCGCUUAAAGCUGCCAGAUUGCAAACUCUGUUUAAGUCAAGGGGAGCCUGAGGGUAAGCUGAUUAGAUUCAAGCUGCAAGAUCACUCUGGGGAUCAGAUGGUGAUGAAUGGGGAAAAGCAGGUAACAGGAAGACCAAUGAGGAGGCUCCUGCAAUAAUCCAGGAGAUAGAUGGAGCUACAAUCUGCCAUUCCAAGAACAAAAGUAAAACAAAGACUACACACUGAUGCAACUCCCUCUCAUGUUAAAGCACUGGGAAUUGGGCAAAACUGAUCUAGACAGAGAAUGGAGUCACCUUGCAAGACCAUCAUGAGGUUCUCUGCCCAGAGCUCUGUAACAGGUGGCAGUGUUCGGGCAACAAAACUUGAUUUGCUAGGCUCCCUUGCAACUAUGGGUAGUCAUGUGACACAGUUCUAGCCCUUGAGAUACAAGCAGAAAUCUAUGGGCUGAGGCUUCCAGAAAAGCUAUUUUCCUGAUAAAAAGGAAAAGACUCAGCUGGCAUAAGCCUCUUCUCUUUUGUCCUUCCCCCUAUUCUGCCUGGAACCAGGACACAAUGCCUGGAGGAGGAGCAGCCAUCUCAUGCACACUAGGAAGAAAGCCUCACACUGAGAAUAGCGAAACCAUGAUGCAGGAUGGAUGCAGGAUGGAGGGACGAGCUUGAGACCUGGAUGACAAUGUGACACUGUAUAUCUCCUGGCUUCGUAUCAUGUGGGACGAAAACCAAGCGCUCUGUGUUAAGCCCCUGGUGUUCUAUUUACCUUAUUUCAGGCAGCCAAACACAUUCUCUAACCAAUACAACUAUAAAGCAGCUUGGUGCCUGGCUCAUAGUAUUCAAUAAAUGUUAGCUA
rnacentral:lncRNA from 10 species